CACUCCUGCGGGAGGCAGCAGUGGGGAAUAUUGGACAAUGGGCGCAAGCCUGAUCCAGCCAUGCCGCGUGAGUGAUGAAGGCACUAGGGUUGUAAAGCUCUUUCACCGGUGAAGAUAAUGACGGUAACCGGAGAAGAAGCCCCGGCUAACUUCGUGCCAGCAGCCGCGGUAAUACGAAGGGGGCUAGCGUUGUUCGGAUUUACUGGGCGUAAAGCGCACGUAGGCGGACUAUUAAGUCAGGGGUGAAAUCCCGGGGCUCAACCCCGGAACUGCCUUUGAUACUGGUAGUCUUGAGUUCGAGAGAGGUGAGUGGAAUUCCGAGUGUAGAGGUGAAAUUCGUAGAUAUUCGGAGGAACACCAGUGGCGAAGGCGGCUCACUGGCUCGAUACUGACGCUGAGGUGCGAAAGCGUGGGGAGCAAACAGGAUUAGAUACCCGAGUAGUCCC
rnacentral:rRNA from 1 species